rnacentral:tRNA from 1 species
UCCUGGUUAGCUCAGUUGGUAGAGCGCUCCACUGGAAAUGGGGAGGUGCCGGGUUCGAUACCCGGACCAGGCG